AGGGGGACUUCGGGCGGCUUACACAUGCAGUCGAGGGGUAUAUAGUGCUUGCACUAUAGAGACCGGCGCACGGGUGCGUAACGCGUAUGCAAUCUACCUUGUACAGGGGAAUAGCCCAGGGAAACUUGGAUUAAUGCCCCAUGGUAUUAUUUUGUAGCAUUACAUUAUAAUUAAAGAUUUAUCGGUACAAGAUGAGCAUGCGUCCCAUUAGUUAGUUGGUGAGGUAACGGCUUACCAAGACGACGAUGGGUAGGGGCCCUGAGAGGGGGAUCCCCCACACUGGUACUGAGACACGGACCAGACUCCUACGGGAGGCAGCAGUGAGGAAUAUUGGACAAUGGGCGAAAGCCUGAUCCAGCCAUGCCGCGUGCAGGAAGACGGCCCUAUGGGUUGUAUACUGCUUUUGUACGGGAAGAAACACCCCCACGUGUGGGGGCUUGACGGUACCGUAAGAAUAAGCAUCGGCUAACUCCGUGCCAGCAGCCGCGGUAAUACGGAGGAUGCAAGCGUUAUCCGGAAUCAUUGGGUUUAAAGGGUCCGUAGGCGGACAAUUAAGUCAGAGGUGAAAUUCUACGGCUCAACCGUAGAACUGCCUUUGAAACUGGUUGUCUUGAAUCGUUGUGAAGUGGUUAGAAUGAGCAGUGUAGCGGUGAAAUGCUUAGAGAUUGCUCAGAAUACCGAUUGCGAAGGCAGAUCACUAACAACGUAUUGACGCUGAGGGACGAAAGCGUGGGGAGCGAACAGGAUUAGAUACCCUGGUAGUCCACGCCGUAAACGAUGGAUACUAGCUGUCCGGUCUUCGGACUGGGUGGCCAAGCGAAAGUGAUAAGUAUCCCACCUGGGGAGUACGUUCGCAAGAAUGAAACUCAAAGGAAUUGACGGGGGCCCGCACAAGCGGUGGAGCAUGUGGUUUAAUUCGAUGAUACGCGAGGAACCUUACCAGGCUUAAAUGUAGUCUGACAGGGGUGGAAACACCCCUCCUUCGGGCAGAUUACAGGUGCUGCAUGGUUGUCGUCAGCUCGUGCCGUGAGAUGUCAGGUUAAGUCCUAAUAACGAGGCGGCAACUC
rnacentral:rRNA from 1 species